GUUGCCAGCAUUCAGUUGGGCACUCUAAGGGACUGCCGGUGAUAAGCCGAGAGGAAGGUGGGGAGUGACGUCAAGUCCUCAUUGGCCCUUAUGGGUAGGGCUUCACACGUCAUACAAUGGUCGGUACAGAGGGUUGCCAACCCGCGAGGGGGAGCUAAUCCCACAAAGCCGAUCGUAGUCCGGAUCGCAGUCUGCAACUCGACUGCGUGAAGUCGGAAUCGCUAGUAAUCGUGGAUCAGCAUGUCACGGUGAAUACGUUCCCGGGUCUU
rnacentral:rRNA from 1 species